rnacentral:piRNA from 1 species
UGGUGAUCAUUUGAUAGAAAUGUCUUUC